UAGAGUUUGAUCAUGGCUCAGGACUAACGCUGGCGGCGUGCUUAACACAUGCAAGUCAAGGAGAAAAUGAUCUUCGGAUUGUGAGUAAACUGGCGAACGGGUGAGUAACGCGUAGACAACCCGGCUUUAGGUUGGGGAUAACUCGCCGAAAGGCGGGCUAAUACCGAAUGGUGCCAUUGAGUCGCCUGAUUCGAUGGUGAAAGUGGGCUUCGGCUCAUGCCUUUAGAUGGGUCUGCGUCUGAUUAGCUAGUUGGUGGGGUAAUGGCCUACCAAGGCGAUGAUCAGUAGCUGGUCUGAGAGGAUGAUCAGCCACACUGGGACUGAGAUACGGCCCAGACUCCUACGGGAGGCAGCAGUGGGGAAUCUUGCGCAAUGGGCGAAAGCCUGACGCAGCAACGCCGCGUGAUCGAUGAAGCUUUAAGGAGUGUAAAGAUCUGUCCUAUGGGAAGAAUGAAGUCAUGUCGAAUAGGCUUGGCUUUUGACGGUACCAUAGAAGAAAGCGCCGGCUAACUUCGUGCCAGCA
rnacentral:rRNA from 1 species